rnacentral:misc_RNA from 1 species
UGAUCAGUGGUAUUAUACCGCUUGACUAUAUACACGUGCACGUCUUCGGACCCGUCUUUAGACCCGUCUUCGGACAUGUCUUCGGACAAACCUUUACAUCAAGUCAGAAUGUCAGAAUGAAAAGAAACAAAAAA